CCGUGCUUCCUUACUUCCCAUAGUGCUUAUAAUCGUAUGGAAUGUAAAGAAGUAUGGAG
rnacentral:precursor_RNA from 1 species